AUUGAACGCUGGCGGCAGGCCUAACACAUGCAAGUCGAGCGAGCGGCGGACGGGUGAGUAAUGUCUGGGAAACUGCCUGAUGGAGGGGGAUAACUACUGGAAACGGUAGCUAAUACCGCAUACCAUCAGAUGUGCUCAGAUGGGAGUAGCUAGUAGGUGGGGUAAUGGCUCACCUAGGCGACGAUCCCUUGCUGGUCUGAGGGGAUGACCAGCGACACUGGAACUGUGACACGUUCCAGACUCCUACGGGAGGCAGCAGUGGGGAGGAUGGCAGAAUGGGGGCAAGCCUGAUGCAGCCAUGCCGCGUGUGUGAAGAAGGCCUUCGGGUUGUAAGGCACGUUCAGCGAGGAGGCGUUACUCUAAGAGGAGGCACCGGCUAACUCCAUGCCAGCCGGCGCGGUAAUAC
rnacentral:rRNA from 1 species